rnacentral:rRNA from 3 species
CGCCCGGGAACUACGAGUAAACUUAAAACCCAAAGGACUUGACGGUGUCCCACUCCCCCUAGAGGAGCCUGUUCUAUAAUCGAUAAUCCCCGCUUUACCUCACCACUUCUUGCCUANUCAGCCUGUAUACCUCCGUCGUAAGCCUACCAUGUGAACGCCUACUGAGUGAGCCCAAUGAUCCAACNCACCAGCACGUCAGGUCAAGGUGCAGUCCAUGAAGUGGAAAGCAAUGGGCUACAAUUUCUAAACUAGAACAAACGAAAAACUGCAUGAAACACAGUCAUGAAGGUGGAUUUAGUAGU